GCCCCCGUUGUCUAAUGGCUAUGACGUCAGACUUCUAGGGCCUCAAACAGUCCUUCCUAAUCUGGAGGUUGCGGGUUCGAGUCCCGCCGGGGGUA